CGGUGGCCUGGCCAUGCGGUCACCGUGUUUACCACGCGUCCUCAGGGCCAGCACGGCUUCUGCAUGUGAGAGAGGCAGCCACCGUGAGUGAUUGGCUUAGUGCAAGUACACAUGUAGGGGAAGGAAGGGAUGGAGACACUUCCCCCAAAACUGAACCCAACAGACUACAGGUUUGGACACGAAACUUUCCCCACUUUCUGACUCUUAUGGAGAACGGCUCACGUCAGCUGAAACACGGCUGAGAGGACGCACUGGGAGCAGCCACCACGUGCUCAUGUGGCCAUCAGGGACGGCCUGCCACCGUGCUGGGCAGUGAGGCUCCAGCACCAUCCAGCUGUGCUCCCCGUCAGAAGAGACAGUGACAGGUGCCGGGGGGCUGGGCAUCUUUCUGCAGGGAGAAAAUGCUGCUGAAAACCAAGUCUGAUUUGCUCUGUGUUACGGAAUUUCACAAAAGCAUGAAAAGGAAGAUGGCUCUUCAGCAUCCCCUCCACCCACAGCUGUCCCUUGACCUCUGGGUGCACCAUACAUUCGUCCUGGACCAUCACUGUCCGAGGCCUUAUCAGCUCCCCAGAAUCUGCUCCUUCACGGCCCCCUGCUGUACCUGAUGGAAUACGCCAGCCAGCCAGAUGCUUCCUGCCUCCUGGAAGGAAGGGAAAACUAAACCUGCC